CUUGGGCGUGGUGCCCAUUAGUGGUAAUUCUUCUUUAUUUGUAAAAUUAAUAUCUUUUCACUCUGGACUUCAAAUACAGCAAAUGAUAUGUCUGUUUCGAUCUUCUCGACGAGCCCGUCGCAAUGAUAUAGUCCAAAUCAUAAUUUGACAUGCUUUUCUUUGAUGGAAAUUUGCAUAUUCCUACAAAACAAUUGAGAACACCAAAACUCGUGGAACUCGUUAGAAUCAAACCCUACAACUAUGCUUUAUGGUUGAUAUCAUGCUAUAUUGAGCAAUAGUUGAUGGUAUAAAAU
rnacentral:lncRNA from 1 species